GGCCGAAACACCCGAUGAAUCCAAGGUCCACUACUGACUAUGUGUCCCAAACUGAUGACCACUGUGCAGUAGCACAACUGAACCAGGACUGGAAACCUGCCCUAUCAUCUCAACUCAAAGGAGUUGCCCUCAGAUUCAGACCUCAGCAUCACCCAGUGACAACAGAACAAACAGUUUAUAUGUUCACUCUUUGUAGUAACUCCAAAAUUAAACGGUGCAAAGGCUAAAUUACUAUAUGAUGUACUGUCAGUGGAUGCUGCAGCUGUUUUAUUGAUAAAGUUAAAGACGAAAAGUUAAAGGGUUUAAUCAUCCACAUAACUGGUGUCACUAUAUAGGAGCAUAAACAGAACCU